rnacentral:rRNA from 1 species
GAUGAACGCUGGCGGCGUGCCUAAUACAUGCAAGUCGAACGCUUCGAUUUAUCGAAGAGUGGCGAACGGGUGAGUAAUACAUAAGUAACCUGCCCUUGACAGGGGGAUAACUACUAGAAAUGGUAGCUAAGACCGCAUAGGUGGAUUGAUCGCAUGAUUGAUUCAUUAAAAGACCUUUACAGGUCUGGACAAGGAAGGACUUAUGUCGCAUUAGCUAAUUGGUAAGGUAACGGCUUACCAAGGCGACGAUGCGUAGCCGGCCUGAGAGGGUGCACGGCCACAUUGGGACUGAGACACGGCCCAAACGCCUACGGGAAGCAGCAGUAGGGAAUUUUCGGCAAUGGGGGGAACCCUGACCGAGCAACGCCGCGUAAAGGAAGAAGGAAUUCGUUUCGUAAACUUCUGUUAUAAAGGAAGAAAGAUAAUAUCAGGAAAUGGAUAUUAAGUGACGGUACUUUAUGAGAAAGCCACGGCUAACUACGUGCCAGCCGCCGCCGUAAGAC